rnacentral:rRNA from 1 species
GGGCUUCGGCCCUGAGUAGAGUGGCGAACGGGUGAGUAACACGUGGGUGAUCUACCUCUGAGUGGGGGAUAACGUUCCGAAAGGAGCGCUAAUACCGCAUGACGUUCUGGGUUUGAAGACCUGGAAACCAAAGCCGGGGACCGCAAGGCCUGGCGCUUGGAGAGGAGCCCGCGCCUGAUUAGCUAGUUGGCGGGGUAAUGGCCCACCAAGGCGACGAUCAGUAGCCGGCCUGAGAGGGCGGACGGCCACACUGGGACUGAGACACGGCCCAGACUCCUACGGGAGGCAGCAGUGGGGAAUUGUUCGCAAUGGGCGCAAGCCUGACGACGCAACGCCGCGUGGAGGAUGAAGGUCUUCGGAUUGUAAACUCCUGUUGAUCGGGACGAAUGGGCUCCGGGUGAAUACUCCGGGGCAGUGACGGUACCGAUUGAGGAAGCCACGGCUAACUCUGUGCCAGCAGCCGCGGUAAUACAGAGGUGGCAAGCGUUGUUCGGAAUUACUGGGCGUAAAGGGCGCGUAGGCGGCCUUGUCAGUCAGACGUGAAAUCCCCGGGCUUAACUCGGGAACUGCGUCUGAUACUACAAGGCUGGAGUUCGGGAGAGGGAUGUGGAAUUCCAGGUGUAGCGGUGAAAUGCGUAGAUAUCUGGAGGAACACCGGUGGCGAAGGCGGCAUCCUGGACCGAAACUGACGCUGAGGCGCGAAAGCCAGGGGAGCAAACGGGAUUAGAUACCCCGGUAGUCCUGGCCCUAAACGAUGAGUGCUUGGUGUGGCGGGUAUCGAUCCCUGCCGUGCC